UACGUAGGGUCGAGCGUGAUCGACGUGUACUGGGCGUAAAGGGCGUGUAGGCGGUUUGUUAAGUCUGGCGUGAAAGCUCUCGGCUAAACCGGGAGAGGUCGUUGGAUACUGGCGAACUAGAGGAUGGUAGAGGCGUGUGGAAUUCCGGGUGUAGUGGUGAAAUGCGUAGAGAUCCGGAGGAACACCAGUGGCGAAGGCGACACGCUGGGCCAUACCUGACGCUAAAGCGCGACAGCAUGGGGGAGCAAACGGG
rnacentral:rRNA from 1 species